UUGGUGAACUAUUUAGAUUUUUCUGUUUGAAAAUUUUUAUAACAAAAAACCCCAACAGUUUUUGUUUGUCACAAUUCUGCUUUUUCUCCAGAAGAAGCGACCUAAAAUAGUAGAGGCUCCAUUAAAGAACUUUUAAAAUCCAGGUUCAGUUUUGUGGGCACUGGGGUUUCCUGAUGGAAUUGAAGAGCCUCUUAUUUCUGCCAUGCCAAAUUUCCUAGCUAGCUGGCUGAAAAUCGUCCAGGGGACUCUUCUGUCUCUACCUCCUAUCUUGCAGUAGGAAUACUGAAAUUACAGAUGAAUCACAUCUAGCUGUGGCUUUUAUUUUUUUAAACAUGGGUUUUAGGGAUAACACUGAAGUUGUUAGGUACAGUCAGGCUUGCAUGUCAAGCACUUUUAUGCACUGGGCCAUCCCAUUGGCCUUGAAUUUGAUUUAUACUUGUAGUCUCCCCUUUUUGUGGCCCAUCUCUUCUCUUCUCUUUUCCUUUCAGUUCUAUUCUUUAUUCCAAGGUUGGUUCUACAUUUUAGGGCCUUAAGUCAACUUUAGAUCAUCCACCUUCUGUAAUCUUAAUUUUAUCUUGACUGAUGCUGGUGAGGUAGUUCAGCAUGUAAGGGUGCUUUGUACCAAGUCUGACAGCCUCAGUUAGAUCCCUGGGAGCCUAUGGUGGAAGGAAAGCUCUCAAACGUUGUAUUGAAUACUGAAUGGAAGUGUGUGAGUGUUUGGGGAGUUAUCUAUGUCUUCCCUCCAUUGUGCCCUUAUUAUAAGACUAUCAUGUGAAUUAGAUUCUCUUGACUAUAGUUUUGUUUUUCACAUUCCAGCUUGGACAGCUUUUAGCAGCCACCUGCAAAGAACUUCCAGGCCCUAAAGAGAGUAGACGGACCGCUAAAGACCUCUGGGAAGUUGUUGUUCAGAUCUGCAGUGUGUCUAACCAGCACAAACGAGGAAAUGAUGGCAGAGUUAGUUUGAUAAAGCAGAGGGAAUCCACAUUAGGCAUAAUGUAUCGGUAUGUUUCUCUCAGUGCUGUUUUUGCAUUUGCAUUUGUUUACAUUUCCUGUACUUUUCCCAGAACAUCUUUAUCCUAUAGAUUUGUAAAGAUAGAUAAUCUUAGGCUUUGGUGGAGCUCACUGGCAAAGUAUUGGCUAAUGUUCACAAGACUGUGGGUUCAUUUCUGUACACCACAACACAAAAACUCAAAAUGUAUAAUCUUAAAAAUUCUGGAGAUGGGCAUAGUAGCACACACUUAAUCCCAUUUAUCACUUGAGAGAUAGAGGCAGGAAGAUAUCUGAGUUCAAGCCAACCUGGUCUACACAGAGAGUUCCAGGACAGCCACGGCUACAGAAUGAGACCCUUUCUCAAAAACCAAAAAGGAGAAAAAAAAUUGUGUUGAUGUAAUGGCUCAGGGGGGUUGUCACCAAGUCUUACAUCUCAAGUUCAAUCCCACUCACAUGCUGGAAGAAAGGAGCCAAUUCUUGCAAGUUGUCUCCUGAUCGCCACCAUCAAACCAAGAAACACAUGUGUAUGUAUGUGCAAUGUGAGUAAAUGUAAUCAGAAGAAUUCUUGGGUCCUCUUCUCGUGCUCGCCUCUGCCUAGCCUCUCCUGGAAAUACUGUUUUGUUUAAGGAGACUGUCUACCAUCAAUGUAAUUAUUAAUUAAUGGCUUUGUUGGGAAGGAGACUUGUUGCAUGUGUGUGAGGUUAGAGGACAAUUAGAUAAGUUGGUGCUCUCCUGUUUUCUCAAGUAUGUUCCAAGGAUCCAAUUCAGAUCCUUAUAUUUGUUGGCAAGUGCCUUGAUCCCCUGAGCCAACUUCCAUCCCAGAGAUUUAAUUUAAUACCGAAUUAAAAAUCAGUCUACAAUUAGAUAGUACUGAGGAAUUUAUGUGAUUAAAAUAGGGAAGAAAUGUUACUAGCUUAUAAUAACAAUGGAUAUGACAUACUUUUCCCUUUUUGUUUUUUUCUCAAACCAAUCUCUGUGUAGCCCUAGCUGGAAUUUGCUAUAGACCAGGCUGGCCUUGAACUCAGAGUGCCUACCUCACUUGCCAAGUGCUAGGAGUAAAGGCCUGUACUACACCACCAGGUGGCUACACAUACUUUUCAUAACUGGAACUAAGAGAGAGGAGUAAGGCAUCAUAUUACUUAUAUUCUUUCUUUAUUUUAAUGUUUGAUAUUAAGCAUAUAAACUUUUUUUUUGUAGGAGUGAACUACUUUCUUUUAUCAAAAAACUCCGGGUAAGUGUUUUGGUGAUUACUGAGUUUUAGGAGUGAGUGGAGAUCUCAAUUGCCGGUUUAAUCACAAACAAAACGUGCUUAUAGUGAUCUCUAUUGAUCAUGGGGUAAUCUGAAUCAAGAGGUGGAUUUUGUACUUGUUGGUUUAAUGAGCACAGUGAGGUCCUUUUAAACUAAGAAUGUCUUUGCCUAAGUUAGUGUGCUGGUGCACAGUUCUGCACACUUGCAAUACAAGCCCUUGGAGAGCUGAGAUAGGACUUCAAAUUUGAGGUCAGCCUGGGGUAUGUAAGGAAACCUUGUCUCAAAAUAAUAUACAAAAAGUAAAUCACAACCUUCCCGCCCCCGAACCCUCCAACAUAUAAGUCUCUCCUAAAUGUGCGAGGCUCUGGCUUAUUUCUUAAUUGAUACCAACAUCAUGUUUACUUAAUGGUCAAUAUCUAGGUUUUGAUUUUUAAAUAUCAUUACUUUAAAUGAAUACAUAGGUCAAUUCUUUGGAAGUAGCUAGCAGUCCUGGCUGAAGCUAUCAAAAGUUACAUAAAGGAAGAUGCUGGGGAAAUACUCAGUGGCUGAACCAUUGCUGAGGGCCAGGAGGUCGGAAGGUGUGGCUCAGUUUCCUAGCGUUGCUCUCCCAAGAACGUGGGAAAGAAAAGAAUAGCGGAAAAAGACCCUAAUACAAUAGCGAUUAUAAGCUAGGGGUAUAAAUGCGAUGAUUUAAGUGUAUAUUAUGUGCUAUAAUUUUAUUGUGAAACCAAAAAAAAAUUUAAUGUGCUCCACUCCAGAUGCCAAAUUCCCAAAACAUAAAGGUUUCUUGUAAGAAAAUACUUGGCACUGGGCAGUGAUGGUCCAAGCCUUUAGGGAUUGCGGAGACAAGUGGAUCUCUUGAGUUCUAGACCAGUCUGAUCUACAGAAUGAGUUCCAGAACAGCCAGGGCCACACAGAGAAACCCUCUCUUGAAAAACG
rnacentral:lncRNA from 1 species